AACCCUGCUGCCUUUCUACCAAAGGCUUCCAACAGCAACAUGAAGCUGAUAGGCUUCCUCAUCCUUGUGACCCUUCUCGCCCUCAGCCUAGAAGUGCAAGAGCUUCAGGCUGCUGUGAGAUCCUUGAAACUUCUGGGUUCCUGCGUAGAACUCUGCAGAAGUGACUGGGACUGUGAGGCAGGGGAGCGGUGUGUCAGCAAUGGUUGUGGCCACAUCUGUGCUUCGGACUAAGGACAGAGUUCCUACCUUUGACAAUGUGACUGUUUGGAGCUCCUUGUCCAGGAAGACAUGAAAAUGAGGGUUCAAGGAUGAAGACCGCAAGGGCAUGGGGCGGCGGG